rnacentral:rRNA from 1 species
CCUANCCUCUGCGCUNUCGCCACACUGCUGUCGGUGUAACCCUUCUCAGGAGAAGUGUGAAGCACUCAGGCCAGAGAGCAGCAGCGCAUCGNGCAGCCAUCCCCUCGGUAGUAGCCGUUGCCUCCACGGACUGGACUCUUGGGUGUAAACCCGUUUACUCUGGAGAAGUGUGAAGCAACCUGACGGUACCAGAGGAAUCAGCAGUCGGCUAACUACCGUGCCAGCAGCCGCGGUAAUACGUAGGGCGCGAGCGUUGUCCGGAAUUAUUGGCGUAAAGAGCUCGUAGGCGGCUGGUCGCGUCUGUCGUGAAAUACCUCUGGCUUAACUGGGGCGUUGCGGUGGGUACGGGCCGGCUUGAGUGCGGUAGGGGAGGACUGGAACUCCUGGUGUAGCGGUGGAAUGCGCAGAUAUCAGGAAGAACACCGGUGGCGAAGGCGGGUCUCUGGGCCGUUACUGACGCUGAGGAGCGAAAGCGUGGGGAGCGAACAGGAUUAGAUACCCUGGUAGUCC